rnacentral:sRNA from 1 species
GCUGGGCAUGGUGGCACAUGCCUAUAAUCCAGUAACAGGGAGACUGAGGUAGGAGGAUUGCAGGCUAAAGGUCAGCCUCAGCAACUUCCUGUCUCAA